UCUGGCGCGGGCCUCUGCCCAGCAAUGGGGUC
rnacentral:piRNA from 1 species